AACGUUUUUUCCGAUUACAACCAAAAGCUCCGAAAGCCAUCCGUUUGAGUUUUCCUCUCCGUGUGGGUUUGCCCUGGAGAACUCUAAGCUCUAACCCGCUUGAAAUAUGCAAAUUCGCGCUCGCCUGGUGACGUCCGUGUCUCUUCCAUCUUCUCCUGCGUCUACCACUCUUCAAGAAAUCGCUGUCAAUCACAAAGUUUCCAUCUUUCUCUGUCUAUUUCUGCGUAGUUGUGUGCAUGUCUGUGUAAUUGCAUCUAUUUCCUUGACUAUCAUGCAUUGUUGAAUCAGUAGGUAUUUGAGUAUUUUCAGUAUCUUCUUAUUGAAGUAUGAUUCUUCAUUCUUAUCUCUAUUGUAAACCUACUCUCGCCCACCUUCCAGAAUGUACUUCUCUAUUGGAAUGCGACUGUGAGCAGCAUUUAAAUGGGUCAUCCCAUAUUACAUAUGAGAACCUUUCAAGAGAAUUUUUUUCGAUCUGGAAAACCUUUUUUAUGAUGCUAGCUAGAAGAAGGGGAGAAGAUGCAACUGAAUUGAUGAAAUCAGCUGCUUCAAGGCAUGAAUCUUGGGAUUUAGUUAUUCUGGAUCCCCCAAAACUAGCACCUCGGAGAAAGAGUGCUGCUUCAAUGGCGAGCAGAAAAGUCACAGUUUUAUGUCAAGCUGGAGCAGCUUGUGCUCACCCUAUUGACCCAUCCCUAUCCUGAAGGAGCAUACCUUUCCAAUGUCUUUCUUAGAGUAUUGUAGAUGAUGAUUGUUCCAUGACAAAUAUGAAGGGUCUCCAAGUCGUCUGAAAACAGGAAAGCAGCAUCAGUAAUAGAUCUUGAUGGUAAUAAAUGGUUAAGGUAAUUCUAUGCAUUGGAAAGGAUUUCUACCUUGGCUUAAUCAGAUAUAUAACAGUGAAGACCAUGGCUAGAAAGAAGCACAACCCUCCAACUGCGAGAUAUGCAAUGCCAAGAAAGUCAUUCUUUCCCCCAAGCCAGCUAGCUGUGGAAAGUACAAGUUUCUUCUCUCCAUUAAAACUGUAUGUGUUGUAGAAGUUCCCCAGUGUUACAUUUAUAAUGUCAUUUGCUUGGAGAUCCA